AGCUUUUCGCAGUGGCAGUAUGGUAGCCAAUGAGGUCUAACCGAGGUGUGAUUAUUGCUAAUUGAAAACUUUCCCCAAAAUGUCACAUUUAGAUUAGCAACAAUUAAAUUAUUGUAUUUCAAUGGGGGAACAUCCU